UAGGCCUAACACAUGCAAGUCGAGGGGCAGCAUAAAACAAGCUUGCUUGUUUGGUGGCGACCGGCGCACGGGUGCGUAACGCGUAUGCAACCUACCUUAUACAGGGGUAUAGCCCGGAGAAAUUCGGAUUAAUCCCCCAUAGUACUGAGCCACCGCAUGGUGAAUCAGUUAAAGUUUCGGCGGUAUAAGAUGGGCAUGCGUCCUAUUAGCUAGAUGGUAAGGUAACGGCUUACCAUGGCUACGAUAGGUAGGGGGCCUGGGAGGGUGGUCCCCCACACUGGUACUGAGACACGGACCAGACUCCUACGGGAGGCAGCAGUGAGGAAUAUUGGUCAAUGGGCGCAAGCCUGAAAAGGCCAUGCCGCGUGCAGGAAGAAUGCCCUAUGGGUUUAAGGUGCUUUUAUUGGGGAUAACCUCC
rnacentral:rRNA from 1 species